rnacentral:rRNA from 1 species
GAUUGAACGCUGGCGGCAUGCUUUACACAUGCAAGUCGGACGGCAGCGGGGUAGUGCUUGCACUACUGCCGGCGAGUGGCGAACGGGUGAGUAACAUAUCGGAACGUACCGAGCAGUGGGGGAUAACUAAUCGAAAGAUUAGCUAAUACCGCAUAUAUUCUGAGGAAGAAAGCAGGGGACCUUUGGGCCUUGCGCUGUUUGAGCGGCCGAUAUCUGAUUAGCUGGUUGGUGGGGUAAAGGCCUACCAAGGCGACGAUCAGUAGCGGGUCUGAGAGGAUGAUCCGCCACACUGGGACUGAGACACGGCCCAGACUCCUACGGGAGGCAGCAGUGGGGAAUUUUGGACAAUGGGGGCAACCCUGAUCCAGCCAUGCCGCGUGUCUGAAGAAGGCCUUCGGGUUGUAAAGGACUUUUGUUCGGGAAGAAAAGCGCGAUGUUAAUACCAUUGCGUGCUGACGGUACCGGAAGAAUAAGCACCGGCUAACUACGU